rnacentral:tRNA from 1 species
GAUUAUGUAGCUCAGUGGUAGAGCACUUGCCUAGCAUGUGUGAGGCUCUGGGUUCAAUCCUCAGUAUAAACA